UAGGGAAUCUUCCACAAUGGGCGCAAGCCUGAUGGAGCAACACCGCGUGAGUGAAGAAGGGUUUCGGCUCGUAAAGCUCUGUUGUUAAAGAAGAACACGUAUGAGAGUAACUGUUCAUACGUUGACGGUAUUUAACCAGAAAGUCACGGCUAACUACGUGCCAGCAGCCGCGGUAAUACGUAGGUGGCAAGCGUUAUCCGGAUUUAUUGGGCGUAAAGAGAGUGCAGGCGGUUUUCUAAGUCUGAUGUGAAAGCCUUCGGCUUAACCGGAGAAGUGCAUCGGAAACUGGAUAACUUGAGUGCAGAAGAGGGUAGUGGAACUCCAUGUGUAGCGGUGGAAUGCGUAAAUAUAUGGAAGAACACCAGUGGCGAAGGCGGCUACCUGGUCUGCAACUGACGCUGAGACUCGAAAGCAUGGGUAGCGAACAGGAUUAGAUACCCUGGUAGUCCAUGCCGUAAACGAUGAGUGCUAGGUGUUGGAGGGUUUCCGCCCUUCAGUGCCGGAGCUAACGCAUUAAGCACUCCGCCUGGGGAGUACGACCGCAAGGUU
rnacentral:rRNA from 1 species